UACGAAGGGGGCUAGCGUUGUUCGGAUUUACUGGGCGUAAAGCGCACGUAGGCGGAUCGUUAAGUCGGGGGUGAAAUCCUGGAGCUCAACUCCAGAACUGCCUUCGAUACUGGCGAUCUUGAGUCCGGAAGAGGUGAGUGGAACUCCUAGUGUAGAGGUGGAAUUCGUAGAUAUUAGGAAGAACACCAGUGGCGAAGGCGGGUCUCUGGGCAGUAACUGACGCUGAGGAGCGAAAGCGUGGGGAGCGAACAGG
rnacentral:rRNA from 1 species